CGGUACGAAGAUGCUGCUUUUGAUGUCGUUAUAGCUUAGGCACUGUGUCAGUGAAUCAGUAGGUACUUCACAUAUUAUUGCUCAGGCAGUUCCUAACCUACUGUUCUUUACUAUGCAGAUAUCUGCCGCCGCAGCCUGGACAUCGAGCGCCCGACCUACACCAACCUCAACCGCCUGAUUGCCCAGGUUAUCAGCUCCCUGACUGCUUCCCUGCGCUUCGAUGGUGCUCUUAACGUCGAUGUGACUGAGUUCCAGACCAACCUGGUGCCGUACCCCCGCAUCCACUUCAUGCUCAGCUCCUAUGCCCCCAUCAUCUCGGCUGAGAAGGCCUACCACGAGCAGCUGUCCGUCGCCGAGAUUACCAAC
rnacentral:lncRNA from 1 species